UACAGAGGGUGCAAGCGUUAAUCGGAGUUACUGGGCGUAAAGGGCGCGUAGGCGGUCGUGACAAGUCACUUGUGAAAUCUCCGGGCUUAACUCGGAACGGUCAAGUGAUACUGUCGGACUAGAGUACAGAAGGGGCAACUGGAAUUCUCGGUGUAGCGGUGAAAUGCGUAGAUAUCGAGAGGAACACCUGCGGCGAAGGCGGGUUGCUGGGCUGAUACUGACGCUGAGGCGCGAAAGCCAGGGGAGCGAACGGG
rnacentral:rRNA from 1 species